AAACAAAUAGCAUAAAACAUGCGUUACGGUUUCGGCCCGUGAAGCGGAAUAUUUUUCCUUUGUUUU
rnacentral:tRNA from 1 species